CGACAAGAAAGCCCACAGGACAGUUUUCUAUUCGAACAUUUAAUAUUUCAAAUAAAACCUCGGCUGUGUGCUCGCUUAUCAUUGCCUAAUAGUAGAAUAAUUUAAAAACGUAACCUGUCAAAAAUUCCCGCCUCAUUUAUGUAAAUUGAAAUACUUUUUAAAAAUAAAAAUUGGUAAUUAAAUGUACUAAUCGUGAAAAUGUUUAUAAAUCUAGUUUUGCGUUUACAAAUCGGUUAGAAGUUUUUAAAUCGUUGUUUUUUGUAAAGUUUUGUGUAUAAUUGACAGUUGGCGUCUUUUAAAAAGAUGGACGUUUUGAGACGCGCGUUAGUGCGUUUAAUAUUUUUUGCUUUCUUCACACGGCAUGCAAUAUCUCAGGAAUACUUCAGAAUGGGGGUGAACACAAACUCAGCGGAGGCCUCUCAGUUCCUCCGCGAGUAUGACAGAGAAGCGUCGGGAAUGUGCUAUAGGGUCACGAUGUCCCAAUGGAAAUUCGUGACGAACAUAACGGAAUACAAUCGACGGAGGAUGAUGGAGGAACUAGCCCUCAGCUCCAAGUUCGAGAGGCUCUCCUGGAGGAAGGCUGCUGCUUAUGACUCCUCGAGGCUGUCAGACCCUCAGGGGAGGAGGCAGUUGCAGAAGAUAGUGCAGUCUAGUAGAGCUGCGUUGCCUGAUGAUAAGUAUUCUGAGCUCCAACAACUAAUAUCAGAAAUGAAAGAAAUUUACAACUCUGCAAAAAUCUGUCCUUACGGUCAGAAGCCUUAUGAUCCUCACAUACCCAGGGUCCCUUACAGCCACGAAUUCCAGGACAUACCUCAGGGUUACCAACUAGCCAAUGAGCCUUACCAGCACUAUCAACCUUAUACAGAAUCUACGGAAUCCAACUACUGUGAUAUGCAAUUGGACCCUGAGAUUUCGAGGAUUUUGGCACAUUCGAGGAUUGAGAGUGAACUGCUGUAUGUUUGGAAGAGCUUUCGGGAGCAGACGGGACCGAAAUUGAAGAAUCGGUUUAUGAGAUAUGUGCAGUUGGCUAAUCAGGCUGCUGAGAAUACUGGCUACAGAGACGCCGGAGACCAAAUGCGAGCAGCGUACGAAGACCCAUCUUUCAGGGCGAGCGUCGAAGAGAUGUACAACCAAAUACAGCCAUUAUACAAGCAACUAUUCACUUAUGUCAGGAGAAGACUGGUGCAGAGAUAUGGGGAGACCAGCGUGAGGUCUGAUGGGCCUAUUCCUGCUCAUUUACUUGGUAACAUGUGGGCACAAAAUUGGAAGUCGAUCAUGGAUCUGGUGAUGCCGUUUCCUCAGUCUCCCAACGUGGAUGUGACAGCUGAGAUGUUGAGGCAAGGCUUCACGCCGCUCAGAAUGUUCCAAAUGGCCGAAGAAUUCUACACAUCCAUGGGUCUGAAGCCAGUACCUCCAGAGUUCUGGCGCGGGUCCAUGCUAGUGCGGCCAGCACAGCGGACUGUGCAGUGCACGGCCAGCGCCUGGGACCUCUGCAAUAGGAUCGACUACAGGAUAAAGCAGUGCACAGAAGUAACGAUGCAGGACCUGGUGUCCACUCACCACGAGAUGGCACACAUACAGUACUACCUGCAGUACUCCGAGCAGCCGCAACUCUUCAGAGACGGAGCUAACCCUGCUUUUCAUGAAGCGGUUGCGAACGCCGCCACUUUGUCGGUCUACAAUCUUCCCCACCUGCAGAGAGUUGGACUUUAUCAAAAUAAGAGUCACGAUCCUUACGAGGUGGGGAUGAAUUUCCUCAUGACCAUGGCUUUGGAGAAGGUGGCUUAUCUACCCUUCGCGUUCAUGGUGGAUCAGUGGAGGUGGUCAGUUUUUGAAGAUGGCGUCCAAAAUAUGAAUUCGAGAUGGUGGCAAAUGAAGUUACGUUAUCAGGGAGUAAUUCCACCAAUACCAAGACAUGAGAGUGACUUUGAUCCGGGCUCUAAAUACCACAUCAUUUCUGAUCAGGAAUACAUCAAAUACUUCUUAGCCACAAUCCUGGAAUUCCAAAUCUUCGAGCAACUAUGUUCAGUGUCCGGACACACCGGACACUUGUACGAGUGCGACGUGUAUAGGAGCAGGGACGCCGGCCGCGUGCUCAGGUGUGUAGCGAGCCGGACAGUGUGUGUCCGGUGCAGUGUCCGGACACACCGGACACUUGUACGAGUGCGACGUGUAUAGGAGCAGGGACGCCGGCCGCGUGCUCAGGUGUGUAGCGAGCCGGACAGUGUGUGUCCGGUGCAGUGUCCGGACACACCGGACACUUGUACGAGUGCGACGUGUAUAGGAGCAGGGACGCCGGCCGCGUGCUCAGUGAAAUAAUGCAAGCCGGUUCUUCUAAACCCGCUUCGGAAAUCAUCAAAUCCAUGACCAGAGGCAAAACCAAUAGGAUAUCACCUGAAGCUCUCGUCAAAUACUUCCGACCUUUAGAAC
rnacentral:misc_RNA from 1 species